rnacentral:rRNA from 1 species
AUGUGGAGCGCUUAGAAGUGAGAAUGCCGGUGUGAGUAGCGAAAGACGGGUGAGAAUCCCGUCCACCGAUUGACUAAGGUUUCCAGAGGAAGGCUCGUCCGCUCUGGGUUAGUCGGGUCCUAAGCUGAGGCCGACAGGCGUAGGCGAUGGAUAACAGGUUGAUAUUCCUGUACCACCAUUAUUCGUUUUAAGCGAUGGGGGGACGCAGUAGGAUAGGCGAAGCGUGCUGUUGGAGUGCACGUCCAAGCAGUGAGAUUGAGUGUUAGGCAAAUCCGGCACUCUUAAGAUUGAGCUGUGAUGGGGAGAGGAACUUGUUCCUCGAGUCGUUGAUUUCACACUGCCGAGAAAAGCCUCUAGCUAGAAUAACGGUGCCCGUACCGCAAACCGACACAGGUAGUCAAGAUGAGAAUUCUAAGGUGAGCGAGCGAACUCUCGUUAAGGAACUCGGCAAAAUGACCCCGUAACUUCGGGAGAAGGGGUGCUCUUUGAGGUUCACGCUUCGAAGAGCCGCAGUGAAUAGGCCCAAGCGACUGUUUAUCAAAAACACAGGUCUCUGCUAAACCGUAAGGUGACGUAUAGGGGCUGACGCCUGCCCGGUGCUGGAAGGUUAAGAGGAGUGGUUAGCGCAAGCGAAGCUACGAAUCGAAGCCCCAGUAAACGGCGGCCGUAACUAUAACGGUCCUAAGGUAGCGAAAUUCCUUGUCGGGUAAGUUCCGACCCGCACGAAAGGCGUAACGAUUUGGGCACUGUCUCAACGAGAGACUCGGUGAAAUCAUAGUACCGGUGAAGAUGCCGGUUACCCGCGACAGGACGGAAAGACCCCGUGGAGCUUUACUGUAGCCUGAUAUUGAAAUUCGGUACAGUUUGUACAGGAUAGGUAGGAGCCUUAGAAGCGUGAGCGCUAGCUUACGUGGAGGCAUUGGUGGGAUACUACCCUAAUUGUAUUGGAUUUCUAACCCGCAGCACUUAUCGUGCUGGGAGACAGUGUCAGGCGGGCAGUUUGACUGGGGCGGUCGCCUCCUAAAGAGUAACGGAGGCGCUCAAAGGUUCCCUCAGAAUGGUUGGAAAUCAUUCAUAGAGUGUAAAGGCAUAAGGGAGCUUGACUGCGAGACCUACAAGUCGAGCAGGGUCGAAAGACGGACUUAGUGAU